GGAGACUUGGUGUAGCGGUAACACACGCCUAACACAGAAGCGAUCGGUACAGUUGGGCUUGGCCCCUAAGUUAGCUAACUCGAGCCGAGGACUAGCAUGAUUGAGCGAGUGGAGGGUUCGAAUCCCCCAGUUUCCU